CCGAGUUUACAACUCCCAAACCCCUGUGAACAUACCCUUAUGUUGCCUCGGCGGAUCAGCCCGCGCCCGUAAAACGGGACGGCCCGCCAGCAGGAACCCCUAAACUCUGUUUCUAUAGUGGAACUUCUGAGUAUAAACCAUAAAUAAAUCA
rnacentral:misc_RNA from 1 species